UACGUAGGUGGCAAGCGUUACUCGGAAUCACUGGGCGUAAAGCGCAGGUAGGCGGUUCGGUAAGUCUCUUGUGAAAGCUCCCGGCUCAACUGGGAGAGGUCAAGGGAAACUGCCGGGCUAGAGUGUGGCAGAGGAAGCUGGAAUUCCCGGUGUAGCGGUGAAAUGCGUAGAUAUCGGGAGGAAUACCUAUGGCGAAAGCAGGCUUCUGGGCCGUCACUGACACUGAUCUGCGAAAGCUAGGGGAGCAAACAGG
rnacentral:rRNA from 1 species